ACAAUUAGCUGUUGGGACACUAGAUGUCUUAGUAGCGAAGCUAACGCGUGAAAUUGUCCGCCUGGGGAGUACGGUCGCAAGAUUAAAACUCAAAGGAAUUGACGGGGACCCGCACAAGCGGUGGAUGAUGUGGAUUAAUUCGAUGCAACGCGAAGAACCUUACCUGGUCUUGACAUGUACGGAAUCUCUUAGAGAUAGGAGAGUGCCUUCGGGAGCCGUAACACAGGUGCUGCAUGGCUGUCGUCAGCUCGUGUCGUGAGAUGUUGGGUUAAGUCCCGCAACGAGCGCAACCCUUGUCAUUAGUUGCCAUCAUUAAGUUGGGCACUCUAAUGAGACUGCCGGUGACAAACCGGAGGAAGGUGGGGAUGACGUCAAGUCCUCAUGGCCCUUAUGACCAGGGCUUCACACGUCAUACAAUGGUCGGUACAGAGGGUAGCGAAGCCGCGAGGUGAAGCCAAUCUCAGAAAGCCGAUCGUAGUCCGGAUUGCACUCUGCAGCUCGAGUGCAUGAAGUCGGAAUCGCUAGUAAUCGCAGGUCAGCAUACUGCGGUGAAUACGUUCCCGGGUCU
rnacentral:rRNA from 1 species